GGGUCGGUGGCGUAGUUGGUUAUCGCAUCUGUCUAACAUUCGGCACACAGAAGGUCCUCAGUUCGAACCUGGGCCGACUCA